rnacentral:rRNA from 1 species
UACGGGGGGGGCAAGCGUUGUUCGGAAUUACUGGGCGUAAAGGGCUUGUAGGCGGCCAACUAAGUCAGACGUGAAAUCCCCAGGCUCAACCUGGGAACUGCGUCCGAUACUGGCAGGCUUGAAUCCGGGAGAGGGAUGUGGAAUUCCAGGUGUAGCGGUGAAAUGCGUAGAUAUCUGGAGGAACACCGGUGGCGAAGGCGGCAUCCUGGACCGGUAUUGACGCUGAGGCGCGAAAGCUAGGGGAGCAAACGGG